UAGGUUCUCAAAAUGCCAUGGUUCCC
rnacentral:piRNA from 1 species